rfam:Clostridium difficile 630 complete genome
AAUUUUAAUUAUGGCGACGUAGUCAUAAUUUUGAGUAUGUUACUGAUUAGCAGGCAGAACUCAAGUAUAUAUGUGAAAAAUAGAGGGAUACUCUAUACAUAUAUGCUUGAGUUCUUUUUAUUGAAGGGAGGAAUAUA